CCCGCUGAACUUAAGCAUAUCACUAAGCGGAGGAAAAGAAAUUAACUAAGAUUGCCUCAGUAACGGCGAGUGAAGCGGCAAGAGCCCAAACUGGAAAUCCCCGCAUUCUGUGCGGUGAAUUGUAAUCUAGAGGACUUAAUCUCAACUGGGCGCGACGCAGAACUUCCCAGGAAUGGGAGGCCAGAGAGGGUGACAGCCCCGUAUGUGGUGUCGCUCCCUAACGAGAUGGGUUCCAAGAGUCGGGUUGUUUUGAAUUGCAGCCCUAAUACGGGGGAUAGACUUCCUCUAAGGCUAAAUAUUUACGGGAAACCGAUAGCGAACAAGUACUGUGAAGGAAAGAUGAAAAGAACUUUGAAAAGAGAGUUAGAAGACUUGAAAUCGUUGAGAAGGAAGCGGUAGAAAUUUAUUCUUCUGGCGUUAACAAAGUGUUCUCCAUUCGUAUUGUGGCCUCCCAGUACGUCAAAGGCUGGUGGCACCACGUGCGGUUGAGAUUGCGGAGUUUGCGUCAGUGAGGCAAGAUGGGGUUCCGCUCCCACAUAAGCUGUUCGAGCCUGGCUUUGCGGCAGUUCGUUCGUGCUCGUGGGCGCGGAGCCUGAGGAUGCCUUGUGCGAUCUUGCCAAAAUGGUUUUUACCGACCCGUCUUGAAACACGG
rnacentral:rRNA from 1 species